UCUCCGUUGGUGAACCAGCGGAGGGAUCAUUACCGAGUUGCACCAACUCCCAAACCCCUGUGAACAUACCGCACGUUGCUUCGGCGGACCGCCCCGGCGCCCGACCCCCCCGGGGGAGACGGCCCGGACCCAGGCGCCCGCCGGGGGACCCAAACUCUUGCCUUCGCCGCCGGCGGAAUCUCACUCUGAGUGACCAAACAAAUGAAUCAAAACUUUCAACAACGGAUCUCUUGGUUCUG
rnacentral:misc_RNA from 1 species